rnacentral:rRNA from 1 species
UGGGUAACCUGCCUCAAAAGAGGGGAAUAGCCUCCCGAAAGGGAGAUUAAUACCGCAUAAUAUGUUUAAGUCGCAUGACUUUAACAUCAAAGGAUUUUCUUUUAAGAAAUUCCACUUUGAGAUGGACCCGCGGCGCAUUAGCUAGUUGGUGAGGUAACGGCUCACCAAGGCAACGAUGCGUACGCCGGCCUGAGGAGGGUGAUCCGGCCCAACUAGUUGGAACUGAAGACCGACGGUCCAGCCUCCGUAGGGACG